rnacentral:rRNA from 1 species
AUUGAACGCUGGCGGCAGGCCUAACACAUGCAAGUCGAACGGUAACAGGAAGAAGCUUUCUUCUUUGCUGACGAGUGUCGGACGGGUGAGUAAUGUCUGGGAAACUGCCUGAUGGAGGGGGAUAACUACUGGAAACGGUAGCUAAUACCGCAUAACGUCGCAAGACCAAAGAGGGGGACCUUCGGGCCUCUUGCCAUCGGAUGUGCCCAGAUGGGAUUAGCUAGUAGGUGGGGUAACGGCUCACCUAGGCGACGAUCCCUAGCUGGUCUGAGAGGAUGACCAGCCACACUGGAACUGAGACACGGUCCAGACUCCUACGGGAGGCAGCAGUGGGGAAUAUUGCACAAUGGGCGCAAGCCUGAUGCAGCCACGCCGCGUGUAUGAAGAAGGCCUUCGGGUUGUAAAGUACUUUCAGCGGGGAGGAAGGGAGUAAAGUUAAUACCUUUGCUCAUUGACGUUACCCGCAGAAGAAGCACCGGCUAACUCCGUG